GUGCUCGCUUCGGCAGCGGCAGCACAUAUACUAAAAUUGAAACGAUACAGAGAUUAGCAUGGCCCCUACGCAAGGAUGACACGCAAAUUCGUGAAGCGUUAAAAAAAAAU